UCCAGCAGCCAUAUCACUCUGCAACUUACUGUAUAACUGUCAGUCCACUGAAGCUAAGCGGGUGUGAGCCUAGUCAGUACCUGGACGGGAGAUUCCUGGGAAAAACUAAGGUUGCUGCUGGAA
rnacentral:rRNA from 1 species